GAUGAACGCUGGCGGCGUGCUUAGCACAUGCAAGUCGAACGGAAAGGCCCAAGCUUGCUUGGGUACUCGAGUGGCGAACGGGUGAGUAACACGUGGGUGAUCUGCCCUGCACUUCGGGAUAAGCCUGGGAAACUGGGUCUAAUACCGGAUAGGACCACUUCUUGGAUGUUGUGGUGGAAAGUUUUCUCGGUGUGGGAUGAGCUCGCGGCCUAUCAGCUUGUUGGUGGGGUAAUGGCCUACCAAGGCGUCGACGGGUAGCCGGCCUGAGAGGGUGUACGGCCACAUUGGGACUGAGAUACGGCCCAGACUCCUACGGGAGGCAGCAGUGGGGAAUAUUGCACAAUGGGCGCAAGCCUGAUGCAGCGACGCCGCGUGGGGGAUGACGGCCUUCGGGUUGUAAACUCCUUUCGCUAGGGACGAAGCGUUUUUGUGACGGUACCUGGAGAAGAAGCACCGGCUAACUACGUG
rnacentral:rRNA from 1 species